CAGACAGGAAUGAUCAUGUUUUUUAUACCAAAGAAAAUAAAAGAGUAUCACUUGUGAUGGGGAACCUUGAAGAUCAAGAUACCGAUGUCAUCGUAAACACAACCUCGGCACAAAUGAACCUCAAUUGUGGAGCCGUGUCAUCUGCGCUCUCUCGUAAGGCAGGGCCUGCACUCCAAGCUGCUGUCAACAAGAAAAAAGAGUCCACUGAAAUUUCUGGCGACAUUGUAGACACGGAAACCACCAAUUGCCGCCUUUGCUGUAAGAAUGUGUAUCACAUAUCCCUUGGCAAGAAUUCUCCAAAAUCACUCGCGAAUUUUAAAAAAGUCGUGAUGGAUUGCCUAAAGUUGGCUGAUGCGUCCCAGCAUCAGUCGAUCUCUCUGCCAGCACUGGGCACUGGCAUUUUAGGUUACCCACCAAAGGACGUAGCGGAUAUCGUGAUUGACGCUGCCAUCCAGUUCAGCAAGGACUAUCCCGACUCUACUCUCAAGCUCAUUCGAGUUGUGCUCUUUCCAUCCAAUGACAGCAUCGGUUCUGCAUUCAAAGAGAAAAUACAACAUCUUCAAUCAGAAUGCUACAUUUGCUCUCAUGAUAAUAAAAGAAUAUCACUUUUACUGGGAAAAAUUGAAGAUCAAAAUACCGAUGUCAUCGUAAACACAACAUCUGUAAAAAUGAAGCUCAAUGUUGGAAAUGUGUCAUCUGCGCUCCAUUAUAAGGCUGGGCCUGCCCUCCAGGCCUCGGUGAACAGGGAGAAAGGCUCCAUUGUAAACCACGGAGACAUCGUAAACACAGAAACUACAAACUGCAACCUGUCCUGCAAGAGAGUAUUUCAUGUUUCCUUAGUCUCUUGUUCUUCAACAGAGUGG